AUUCUUUCAUCUGCAUCUGGAAAGCAGAAACCCUAAAUGUAGGGCACAUCCUCCACCUCUCAAUUAAUUUGUUUUCAGUUAAUUUUUUAACAGUUUCUUGUUCUUCAAUGUUUUGCAAAUUUGCUUACCGAGGCGUUGCGUUUACCGGCGAUUACGAAUCCGGUCAACGUGUCAAGGGAAGCGUAAAUCAAACCCCUGCAAUUCCAACUGAUUCAAUUUUUGAAAAUAUUGCAUCUUAAUCCAUAGUUUGCAUCUGGAGUUGGAUUGUACAAUCAAACAACCCUAAUUUAUAUGCUAAUUAAUGCCGAUUUUUUUUGUCGUUGCUUCAUAUGGUGAACUCUCUCUGUUGAUGAGAGUUGUUCGAGUUUCCCGAAGCAUAUAUCAAUAAUUUUUGACCAGUUUUAAACAGCUCGAUGAAUGGAUUACUCUGUUAAUCUAAUUACUUUCAUCGCGUUACCUGUCUGCUGGUACAUUCCCCUUUUUUAUAAAUUUAGGGUUUGCGAAAAUGCAGCUACCUCGCUUCUAACUUGUGAAAUUUCUCACUCUUUUUAGAUGGAGGAAUUCAUGUUUGGAAGUAAAAGUUCUACUGCAUUUUGUUCUGGAAUUCGGUCUAAUCUUCGCAUGGAAUUGGCAGAAUUUCUUGGUGCCCGUGCUUGGCUAGCAUGGACUACCAACAAAUCACAAUUAUAAAGUGAAGGUAUUCUUAUGACUGAAAAAUUGAUAAGAGUAAAUUAAGAGUGAUGAACCUUGGCUUGCGCAGAUGAAUGCUUUAGUGGCAAGUCAUUCCUCUGACCAAACAAUAUUUGUAGCACGUCUUGAUUGUUCAAGUGUGGCUCCUGAAAUGCAUUUACAAGCUUCAUGUGCAUCUUCUGCUCUGCAUAUUGAGCCAGGUAAUGGAGCAAUGAUGGUAAAUUUGUUUCUUACUGAAUAAUUUCUAUGGACUGCAUUAUUUGCACUUACCUGUGUGUUGCUGGCAGACAUCUACUUUUGCAUUAAGAUGAUUGCCAAUUCCGUCUAAUUUUCUUCUUAAACUCGCAAUCUCCCAUACAGCGCUAGAUAUUGAAUAUGGAUCCCUAUAUUUUCAAAUUCAGGUUUGACAAUCAGUCUGUCUUAAAUUUUGAUGUGGCGUGGACAUUGAUAGAGUUAGAGUAUAAAACCAAUUUUGAAAUUCUAACCAUCAGCUUAUGUUUUUGCUUGAGCUGACCUUCUCGACAUGGCAUUAGAAUUACAAGUUCGGGGUUCAGUAGAGUAUAAAACCAAUUGUACGCUGAUGAUUGGAGCUCAAGAUUGGUUUUGUACUCUUUUAGACAUUUUCUUAAAUAUAUUUUCCUUUAUAAGUUGAAAAGUCUAGCAUGCUGGUAGUAAAAAUUUGAAAAAUUCAAACUGCAUAACUGAAAGGCAAGAAGGUGCACUUGCUCAUCUUGGAGGGAUCUCAAAUUUGUGAUGAGAGACACACAGACUAUAAUGCUUCUGAUGAUCCAAUAAGCAGCAACAUAUAUUGACGAUUUUGUAGCUGCAACACUGACAGUUUCAUCCUGCAGCUCUAUGUGCCUUAUUGGUUCAAACAUGUUGAAGCUAUUUGGGUAUUGCUUAAGUAAUGCAAUUGAUGCAGCUAAAGGAUUCUGGCUUUGUGCCUGUAUGAUGACCCAGAAUUCGCCAAAGACUGUUGCAAAAGCGGACAAAGCUAGAAGAAGCUU